rnacentral:rRNA from 1 species
AUUGUCCAGGCAAAUCCGGAUAAUCAAGGCUGAGGUGUGAUGACGAGGCACUACGGUGCUGAAGUAACAAAUGCCCUGCUUCCAGGAAAAGCCUCUAAGCAUCAGGUAACAUCAAAUCGUACCCCAAACCGACACAGGUGGUCAGGUAGAGAAUACCAAGGCGCUUGAGAGAACUCGGGUGAAGGAACUAGGCAAAAUGGUGCCGUAACUUCGGGAGAAGGCACGCUGGUGUGUAGGUGAAGUCCCUGCGGAUGGAGCUGAGACCAGUCGAAGAUACCAGCUGGCUGCAACUGUUUAUUAAAAACACAGCACUGUGCAAACACGAAAGUGGACGUAUACGGUGUGACGCCUGCCCGGUGCCGGAAGGUUAAUUGAUGGGGUUAUCCGUAAGGAGAAGCUCUUGAUCGAAGCCCCGGUAAACGGCGGCCGUAACUAUAACGGUCCUAAGGUAGCGAAAUUCCUUGUCGGGUAAGUUCCGACCUGCACGAAUGGCGUAAUGAUGGCCAGGCUGUCUCCACCCGAGACUCAGUGAAAUUGAACUCGCUGUGAAGAUGCAGUGUACCCGCGGCAAGACGGAAAGACCCCGUGAACCUUUACUAUAGCUUGACACUGAACAUUGAGCCUUGAUGUGUAGGAUAGGUGGGAGGCUUUGAAGCGUGGACGCCAGUCUGCGUGGAGCCAACCUUGAAAUACCACCCUUUAAUGUUUGAUGUUCUAACGUUGGCCCCUGACCGGGGUUGCGGACAGUGUCUGGUGGGUAGUUUGACUGGGGCGGUCUCCUCCCAAAGCGUAACGGAGGAGCACGAAGGUUAGCUAAUCCUGGUCGGACAUCAGGAGGUUAGUGCAAUGGCAUAAGCUAGCUUGACUGCGAGCGUGACGGCGCGAGCAGGUGCGAAAGCAGGUCAUAGUGAUCCGGUGGUUCUGAAUGGAAGGGCCAUCGCUCAACGGAUAAAAGGUACUCCGGGGAUAACAGGCUGAUACCGCCCAAGAGUUCAUAUCGACGGCGGUGUUUGGCACCUCGAUGUCGGCUCAUCACAUCCUGGGGCUGAAGUAGGUCCCAAGGGUAUGGCUGUUCGCCAUUUAAAGUGGUACGCGAGCUGGGUUUAGAACGUCGUGAGACAGUUCGGUCCCUAUCUGCCGUGGGCGCUGGAGAAUUGAGGGGGGCUGCUCCUAGUACGAGAGGACCGGAGUGGACGCAUCACUGGUGUUCGGGUUGUCAUGCCAAUGGCACUGCCCGGUAGCUAAAUGCGGAAGAGAUAAGUGCUGAAAGCAUCUAAGCACGAAACUUGCCCCGAGAUGAGUUCUCCCUGAGACUUUAAGUCUCCUGAAGGAACGUUAAAGACGAUGACGUUGAUAGGCCGGGUGUGUAAGCGCAGCGAUGCGUUGAGCUAACCGGUACUAAUGAACCGUGAGGCUUAACCUU